UACAGAGGUCUCAAGCGUUGUUCGGAUUCAUUGGGCGUAAAGGGUGUGUAGGUGGCGCGGUAAGUCGGGUGUGAAAUCUCGGAGCUUAACUCCGAAAUUGCAUUCGAUACUGCCGUGCUCGAGGACUGGAGAGGAGACUGGAAUUCAUGGUGUAGCAGUGAAAUGCGUAGAGAUCAUGAGGAAGACCAGUGGCGAAGGCGGGUCUCUGGACAGUUCCUGACACUGAGGCACGAAGGCCAGGGGAGCAAACGGG
rnacentral:rRNA from 1 species